GCUAGCUUCGGGCUGGCGGGCGCGGUAAGACGAAGGGUGCAAGCGUUAAUGGGAAUGACUGGGCGGAAAGCGCGCUGAGGCGGUUUGAUAAGUGAGAUGGGAAAGCCCCGGGCUCAACCUGGGAACUGCAUCUCAGACUGUCAGGCUAGAGUACGGUAGAGGGGGGUAGAAUUCCACGUGUAGCGGUGAAAUGCGUAGAGAUGUGGAGGAAUACCAGUGGCGAAGGCGGCCCCCUGGAUCGAUACUGACGCUGAGGUGCGAAAGCGUGGGGAGCAAACAGGAUUAGAUACCCCGGUAGUC
rnacentral:rRNA from 1 species